UUUUAAAACCUGACCCCCAGGGUAUGCCAGAUCCGCCACAAAUAUAGGGAGUCCACUGUUCACACGGACAGAGUCUUUCCUGUAUUUGCACGGCGUCGCACAAGUACAAGUACAUAUCGAGGAUACAACCACUACCACUGAACAUACAAACAUCCAUAUUUAUAUAUCCAUACUCCAUUCACCACAGGUUCACAUUUAAGAUUUAACAUAAAACCACAACUAUCAGUUAAAAUGUUUCCUAUCCGAAAACUAGUUUUGAAAUACUAAGUUACAAAAAUCACGAAAAAACCUUUUGAAAACUGUUUCCCACAAAAAAACUCUUUUCUUUUAAAACACUCUACCACGAGGAGUAGAAAACUAUUUUCCAUUUCACAAAAUCCACAAAUCCUUUUAUUACAUUCAUGAAAACCCACAUAUUCAAAUGUAAUAAAAAUACUGAACCAUAUAAACUGUCUAAACUAUAACAACAGAAUAGCAAGGGUAGAAACUAAACUGAAUAACCUGGGUCGGAAGCUUUAUCGACCACUACGAACGUAUCUCAUGUCUCGUCUCAACCCUCACCGCCCGCAAUACCCGAAAAAUG
rnacentral:lncRNA from 1 species